UCGACUCAUCCCUCCUCCGCACCUGCUUUACACAGAGAACAAACAGAGAUUUGUUUAAGACGCUUGUAUUAUUUUCCUUCUGGAGUAUUCUUUCGGUAGCGUGCUUAAGCAAGAAUAUGCAUAAGGAGAAACGAUAAAUCGGAAGGAAGGUUAGAAGAAUAACGCAAGAUAAAUAGCAUGAAGGAAAGAUAAUAACUUUAGGAAAAAGAAAAUGAAAACAUUUUCUAAAUGACUUUAACUCAUUCUGAAACCUAUAAACUACCAUUCAUCCAUAAAACAGUGAAGUAAUGUACUUAGAGAUCUCUAGUAAAUAUAUACUGUAUGCUCCAUUUGUGUCAUUUUAAAUAUCAACUUUUUUUUUUUUUUUGAGAUGGAGUUUUGCUCUUGUUACCCAGGCUGGAGUGCAAUGGCGCAAUCUCGGCUCACCGCAACCUCCACCUCCUGGGUUCAGGCGAUUCUCCUGCCUCAGCCUCCCGAGUAGCGGGGAUUACAGGCACGCGCCACCACGCCCAGCUAAUAAAUAUCAACUUUUAAAGCAAAACUGAAAAAUUCCCAGUUCCAGAAGAGUCAUCUUCCCUCAAGAUACAAAUGAUCCUUGAAGAGGCGCACAAACGUUUUGUAAUGGAGUCUUGCUUUGUCACCCAGGCUGGGAUGCAGUGGUGUGAUCUUGACUUACUGCAACCUCUGCCUCCCGGGUUCAAGAGAUUCUCCUGCCUCGGCUUCCUGAGUACCUGGCUAUACAGGAGGGAGUGGAAUGAUACCUAAGCGCACCAUUGGACCAGAGGAACUUGAUGGCUAUCCAAUAUGUUUGUGAGUAGGAAGAGUGGCAUAGAGACAAAGGCAGGUACAACCAGUGCUCCCUCAAUACAGGAUGUGCAUAUAUCUAGGUAAAAUGUUUAUUGCCUAAAAUGCUCGGCCCCAAGACUAGUCCUUGUUCUGGAGAAGCAGGACUAGUCUGCAGUAACUGUCCUUGUAAAGGAAGAAAGUAAAUAUAAGUUGUCUACAACCCAUGUUUUUCCCUUAUUUAUAGAUGUGC
rnacentral:lncRNA from 1 species